ACGGAAGUGCGGUGCUUAACGGGAGCCGGCGCCCGGAAGGUCAGCGUGUGAAGGUGGCAGUAGCAACGCGGGUCUUCCCGCUGUUGCUGUCGGGGCCACGGCCGAGCACACGACCCCGGCCUGAGGUGGUGGUGGGAAGCCCGCCGCUGUUUGCUGCGACCUCAUGGAGGGUGGCGGAGGAAGUAGCAACAAAUCCACCGGCGGGUUAGCGGGCUUCUUCGGAGCGGGAGGAGCGGGUUACUCGAACGCUGAUUUGGCCGGCGUCCCGCUGACUGGUAUGAACCCCCUGUCUCCUUACUUAAAUGUGGACCCACGCUAUCUCGUUCAGGAUACAGAUGAGUUUAUUUUGCCAACUGGAGCUAAUAAAACCCGAGGCAGGUUUGAACUAGCUUUCUUCACCAUUGGAGGAUGCUGCAUGACAGGGGCUGCAUUCGGGGCACUGAACGGGCUUCGUUUAGGAUUGAAGGAAACUCAGAGCAUGCCCUGGUCCAAACCAAGAAAUGUACAGAUUUUGAAUAUGGUGACUAGACAAGGGGCACUUUGGGCUAAUACUCUAGGUUCCCUGGCUUUGCUCUAUAGUGCUUUUGGCGUUAUCAUUGAGAAAACACGGGGUGCAGAAGACGACCUCAACACAGUAGCAGCUGGAACCAUGACAGGAAUGUUAUAUAAAUGUACAGGUGAGUGAUACUGCAUGGAAAACUGAAAAAAUUUUAUAAUAUUCAAAGGAAAAAUGCACAUGCCUAUAUACACACAAAGAACAAUCUAGUACUCUAACCUUAUAGUUAUUAAGGGUUUUAUUAUUUUCUUGACACCAACUUCUGGGAAUCUCAUAUUCUGCAUUUGCCAUCUCAUACGUGAAACGAGACAAUAUUUGUUCUUUUGUGACUGACUUCUGUUUCAUCAAACAUUUCUUCACAGCCCAUGACAUGUUGGGUCAUGCUUCAGAAACACCACCCCCCUCCUUAAAGGUUAUAAGCACAGCGUCUGUUGCGUUUGCACCAUCAUUCGUGAAUCUGUUCUUCUAUCCAAAAGAUGAUGAUGUCUCUUGUUUGCCAAGUAAAAUCUUGUUUUAAACUAAAUGACAUCUAGAUCAUAGGGCUAUACCUGAUAAGAAAGGUUCGGAGUCCUGUAGUGAGACAUGACAGACUGGGUCAGAGCUUAGGCUUGUAUGUAAGUCUUCUAUACAAACCUGAAGGGAAGAAAAUCACAGGAACUUCUCUUCAUAAACAAGGCAAGAUAAACUGUGUUCAUCUGCUAUACUUCUCUUUUGUGACCUAGGCUAAGCAAAUCCUAGUCUGACCCAAAAGUCUCCUCCACCACCACCACCACUACUACUAGUUCUUCCUCCUCCUAUUCCUUUUCCUCCUCCUUCCUCUUUCCUCCCUUCUCCUUCUGCCAUAACCACAUUGCCUCCAGGAUGGAGAAAUAAAGGGAAUCUUGGGAAAGGGAGGGGUAAGUUGAGCUGGGCCUGAACAAAGGACUGAACUUUGGGGAUGUCAUAUGAUAGCAUUAGGAAGAUGUGGAACACAAGUCUGGAAGAGUCAGAUUUGAAGCAUAGGAAGCUAGAGCAGGAAGCUAGAGUAGGAAGCUAGAGCAGGAAGCUAGAGCAGGAAGUUUGUAUUUAGGUUAAAAGUCAUCAAAGAUAUUUGAAGAAAGAUUUACUAGAAUUGGAAUGGAGAGAUAGCUCAGUUGUUAAAACUACUUCUUGGCUAUUCUUUGAAAGGACCUGGAUUUAAUUCUCAGCACCCAUAAAAUGACUCACAACCAUCUCUAACUCUAGUCCUAGAGGACCCAUUCCCUCUCCUGGCCUUGUAUGCACUGCGUCCAUGUGCAUACUGACAUCAAGCAAAACACCAAUAUACAAUCAAUCAAAAGAAUUACUAGAGUUAUACUUGUGUGAGAGAUUGUUAGAAAUGUGGCUAGAAGGUAGAAGCAGCCAGGCAUGGUGGUUCCCACCUUUAAUCCCAGCAUUGAGUAGGCAGAGGCAGGUAGAUCUCUGAGUUUGAGGCCUGUCUAGUCUACAAGUUCCAGGACAGCCAGAGCUACAUAGACCUUAUCUCAAGGUGAAAAGGAAAAGGUGGAAACAUAAAGUCAAAGUAGUUAAGGAAUACUGCUGAAGAUGUUUAAAAUGAUAUCAGCCUCAAGUGCAGCUACAGACGGCAAACUUUACACCUGAUAAAGGCGUGAGGGAAAGGUGCAUAUCAAAGACAGAUGGAUUGGGCUUGUCUGGUGUACAUGAAGUGCUGGGUUCGAUAUUCAGUGCUACAUAAAACCAGAUGUGGUGCACACAAGAAAUCCCAGCACUCUAGUGGUGGAAAAUCAAAAGUUGACGUUCCUUUUUAGCUGUGUAGGAAAUUUGAGACCAAGCUGGCCAAGAAGAGACACUGUCAAAAAGCAAACCCAACAGAAAUACUGUUUGUAACGUAGUAGAAACGUUGUAUGUAUCAUUAGUUGGCUUUGCCAACCAAAAGGUCUUAACAGAAACAAAUUCAGAGAGGGAAAGGUUUGUUUAGACCUAAUGUUACUGAGUCAAGCCUGUAGGAGCAGAGCAGGCCUGUUAGAGCUUGCCAAGAAACACAGAUGGAUGGCACUCCUGACUGGCUCUCCUGACUGGUUCUCCUUUUGCCCUUUUCUUUUGUCCGUUUCCCAGCCUAUGAGAUGGUGCCACCUACCUACAGGAUAGAUUCCCCCCUUCAGUUUAUCAUCUGGAGUGCCCUUCUAGAUAGCACGCUUCCUCGGUCAAGUUGUCAGUAAAGACUAAGCAUCACGGUGUGUCUUUGAGGGACGCAGUAGUUUGCUGUUCUGGCUUCCUCCGCACUGCACCAUCCAUUCCCUAUGUGUGUGCAGUCUCCUAAAGGCAAGACCAAACUCAGGUUUUUUACUUUGAUAGUGUUACAUUCCUUAGUAAAGUGAUGCUUUGUUUCAUUUUGUGUCUCCCAGAGAUUCUUAGUCAUUUGGACAACUUUCCUGUAGACAUUGUUUUUGUGUAGCAGAAUGAGGGCUGUAGUACAGUCCUGUUUUAGAAACAGAAAGUAUUGGCUCAGGGCCCUCACAACCAAGUUCUCUGAACAAAGGAGAUUCGGUUGCCUCAGAGGGACACGGGGCUGGGAAUAAGAGGCAAAAGCAGAAGCAGAAGGAAACAAGGAAGAAGGAGGGUGGGCAUUUGGUCCCAAGAGGACAAAGAACUGCCCCUGGGUAGAGAAGACAUAGACGCUGCCCAUAGUCAAAUGACCAUUUAUAAAGGUAAAAGGAACGUCUGUGUUUCUUGCCCUGUGUUAGAAUGAGGCAUUUAAUUUUAAUUGGGCUGUUACUUAGGUGAGCCAAAGGUGCCUUCUGAUUGCUGGACUUCAGUACUUAAGUAGUUGAACCUUGGUAGUCAGCCACAGGAGGAGGAGGUGACCAAAUAAGGGACUAGACCUCAGUGGGUAACGCUAGGAAUGGAAUCUUACGGUCUUUAGCAAGGCAGAGGGAAUCAGGGAGAAGGGCAAGGCCUGCCAGAGCCAUGCUCUCCAUACAGAGACUGAUGAGAGUCCUUUCAGUUUUUAUAAAUCCUAAUUUAAUAUUUGAUACAGAUUACUUUGGAGAAAGAUGAACAUUGCAUUCUGGAAGGUUUUGGUGUUUUUUGGUUUUGUUUUUUUUUUUGUUUUUUUUUUUUAAGAUUUAUUUAUUUAUUAUAUAUAAGCACACUGUUACUGUCAUCAGACACACCAGAGGAGGGCACCGGAUCCUAUUACAGAUGGUUGUGAGCCACCAUGUGGUUGCUGGGAAUUGAACUCAGAACCUCUGGAAGAGCAGUCGGUGCUCUUAACCACUGAGCCAUCUCUCCAGCCCUCAUUCUGGAAGUUUUAAUAAACUUAUGGGAAUACCAUUUAGAAGAUGAGACUGAAUCAAACGUCCCAUAGUCCCCAGCCUUCCCAUUAGGCUCACUCUUCUACAUGAUUUGAUCCCUCGGUACAAAGAGGAGACCAGUCUUUCUACAGCUUUUAUCUCAUUUGAGGGGUUUUAUUUGGUUUUCAUUUUGCUUAGAAUGUUCUUUCCAAAUACGUUUUUUUAUGAAUUUUCAUCCAUUCGUCUUGUUUAUAUAUGGCUUUCUUGAGACCUCCUUUAAACAUAUAAGGUUCUGUGCUGCAGGAUAAAUUACUGAAAGCCAGAUUACUAGUCUGCAUAUUAAAAUUGGUAAUAACUAUUGCCAAAGUGACUUUUGAAGACUCUGUAUCAUUAUCAGCUUGAAGUAUCAUCUACUCUGUUUUUUAGCUUUAUUUUUUUAUUAUUUUUAAUUAUGUGUAAAUCUGUUAGUGCCUGUAUGUGAGUAUAUGCAUAUGGAGGACAUCGGGAUGGAGUCCCCAGAUGCAGUUACAGGCGGUUGUGGGCUGCCUGAUUGAGGUGCUGGAGUCUGGAGGAGCUAGGGUGUUCCAAAUCACUGAGUGUCUCUAGCCCUACAUUGUGUCCAAAUGAAUGCCGACUGAUGAAAGAUAGUUUUUGUUAUUGGUUUGAUUUAGUUUUGAAACAACGUCUCACUCAUGGCUUCAAACUUGUGAGGAAUCCCACAACUCCUUCCUGACUGCCAAAAAUAGUCUUGUGUCUCAUUUCGGUUUUCCGUGGUUGGUGGUAAGAUUGAGAAACUUCUGAUAUUUAUUGCUAUUGUAAUUUCCCUGAAGCCCUUUCCUUCAGGGUGUGCCCUCAGUUACUUUUUUUGAAACAUUUCCAACAUUACAGCAAUUAGCCUUUUACCUAUUACAUAUGGUACAUGAAACUUUACCUGAUUCGUGACACCAACUGUAAUCCAUUUCUUUUCAACUGUUACCUAUCUCAGGAUACUGAGAUCGGAGGGAUUACAAGUUCAAGGGCAGCCUGGAAAUUUUCUUUAUUGAGGAACCUCCUUCAAAAAGUAAAGAUAGGAUCAGGGAAUCGUUCAUGGGUAGAAUGCUUGCCUGUCCUUCAUGAAACUCUAGGUUUGAUUUCCAAUGCCUUAGGAAAGAAAGCCCUUUCUAAUUUGAUACUUAAAAUAGCAGUCAUAGAAAAGGUCAUCGAGAGGUCUUUUGAAAUGUGCGUGUGAGUUCUUCUGUAGAUCUGACAUUCAGUUUUGACAUUUAAAAAGAGAACAGGUUAACUAAUGGUAAUCCUGAUGGUGUUUGCUAAAUUUGAAAUGCUAACUUUUUAUCCCUUUUUAUACUUUGCUAACUUUAUUUUUAUAAACUGACAUUGUUUGUGGAAAGCUAAGACUGUGGAAGGCAUUAGGAGAGAAACACCCUAAACAGACUGAUACAGUCCAUACAGAUAUCUUGAUGAUAGUAAAAUUUUGUUCUCUUGAGAUGUAUAUAUUACAGAAUGUACAGCUUUGGCGAGUUUCGUCAGACGUGCUGUAGCAGGAUCGCCCUCUGUUGGCUUCUUGGACCUUAUUUCCCAAAUAGAUGUUUAUUAGCCUCUUUUUUUUUUUUUUUCUUUUUUCUUUUUUCUUUUUUUUUGGAGCUGGGGACCGAACCCAGGGCCUUGUGAUUGCUAGGCAAGCACUCUACCACUGAGCUAAAUCCCCCAACCCCUUAUUGGCCUCUCUUAAGAUGCUCGUUGAUAGCAAAACUGUAGCUGUUCUUAUUCUGGUAGAAUGUAAUUGAAAUGGAAUGCAUUUACAUGGACGUGAACUAACUUCCUUUGAGAAAAAGUACGUAGACAUUAGACUGAAUUAAAAUCGUGAAAUUCUCUCCAUCUUUCUUCUUUUGGAACAAGGUCUCGUGUAGCGAAGACAGGUCCGUAAGUGGCUCCGUAGUGGAAGCUCUUAAGUUUCUGGUCCUCUGGCCUCUGCCUCCCGGGUGCUAGGAUUGUAGGCUUUGCUGCCAAGUCAGCUUGAGACUUCCUCCUGCUCCAGGAGCCCCACGAUACUUUACAGACAACUAACUGUGUCUAAACUUCUCCAGAUCUUUGAAUCUAAACGCUGAAGUUAUGUUUUGUUCUAUCACAAAGUUUAUUUCUGCAGUCAGCCUGUCCUCUUGAGUUUUGCUUUAAAUCAGAAAUUAAGAACAGGAACUGUCUGCUUUUGUUGGAGUGACUUCAGUGUGCUAUGGUUCAACACAUUAUUACCAACUGUUCCACAGUUGCCCUUGCUCACUUUCACAAUUGGCAGUCCUUGUCGCUUGACAGAGAAUUCCUUUACUUUCGUCUAUGGAUUGGCAAGUUUGGUACAUUUUUAGGUUUAAGGUUACCAGCAGACAGGAACUGGCUCCUGUCUUUAAAUACUUAAAGCCUGGUGUGGCGGUUCGUGCGUGUGACCCGAGCACUGGACACCCCACUGGAGACUGGAGGCAUUGGUGCAAUGCUGGGCUUGCUGGCUUGGAGAAGAGGCAUGUGCUGCUGUACCAGUUUAUGGGGUGCUGGGUAUUGGACUCAAGCUUCAGACCUUGUAGGUAACUAUUCUACCUCCCCAGGUUCUACUUGUGUAUUUGUAUAUAAAAUAAAAGUUCAAGUGCAAUCCAUUUUCAAUAUAGAAAGCUGUUCUUACUCUCACAUGUCUCAGGAAAACGUGGAUUUUAUGAUUCCUUUGAAGCUUUGUCUCAUGUCUUCAGUAAAGUACGAUUGCGGUUUGGAAUGGGUGGACUGCUAGAGCCCACAAUAAUGCCUAAUGCACAAUAAGGCAUCCAUACCAAGAUACCUUUCGGAGGCAUAAACGUAGAACACAGACUGUUAGUUAAGCUGUUUAAAACAAAAAUGCAUUAAUAGCGAAUUCAUGUAUUGAAUCUGAAGGCACUUGGAAGAUUAUGGUGCGGGCUGCGACACAGCUCAGUGGGGAAAGCACUUGCUGCCGAACGCAGUGCCCGAAGUUAAAGCUCUAGGACCUACGUGGUGAGGAGAGAAGCAGUUCCAACAAGUUGCCCCUUGGACCUCCACAGCACACGUACACACACCUAGGUGCACAGAUACACACAAUGAGUAAAUACAUCUUUUAAUUAAAGAUUGGGAUACAUCUUAAUGGAAAGGCAUUAAAGCAAGAUCUUACUACAGAGCACUGCUCAGUGAAUAUUCCUUUCUGUGUCCUUGUAGAAUCGGUUACUCUUUACCCAGACAACUUUGACCCAACCCUUGAGGCUCUGGUGUGUGUUUAUUUUCUCUGGGUGUCUGCACACCUGGCAGUCAGAAAACAACUUCAGGAAAUUGGUUUUCUCUUUGUACCAUUUGAGUACUGAGAGUUGAUCUCUAGUUGUCAGGCUUGGAGGUAAGCCCCUGUACCAGCCGACACAUCUUGCUGACCCUGAUGUGCGUUUGAAUGAGUAUACCCAUGUAUGUAACAAUUCACAAAGGUAAAAGUAAAAGUAACCCGACUGUCCUUUACCGGGGAAAUGGAUACUUACAAUGAACUCUGUUAAGCCUUUACAAGGCAAGGGAAUGCUGGCAUAGGAAACAGUGUGGAUGAACUACUAACAAAGGUAAGGGUAUCACUGACGGACAAACACUGGGUCACACUCUACUUAUGUGAGAUACAUGUCCAGAAUAGGCAGAAUCGUUGAGAUUUUAAAAAAAAAAAAAAGUAAAGGGGCAGGAAAUGAGGGGUUUAACAGUUUAGGUGAAAAUGUUUUCAAAUGUAAAUAUUGUUGAAAAUAACACAAUACAAGCUAGCUCAGCAGUGAAGAGCACUAUCACAGAGGAUCAGGUGUCUUACAGCUCCAGGGGACCAACAGCUGACAUUGAGGUCACUGAGAUACUGUACAUGAGCAC